rnacentral:tmRNA from 1 species
GGGGGCGACCUGGCUUCGACGCGGGUUGCAAAACCUGAGGUGCAUGUCGAGCAAGCAAUGAGGCUCGUAAAUCUUAAAUUGCAAAACUAUAGCUGGAAACUUAUUCAGCCGUAAAGCUGCCAACGACGACGUAGCUUUAGCAGCAGUAGCUGCUUAACUAGUUGUCGCUUACCGUCCUAAGAAAACGGUACAGCCCAUUGACCGGUGAGUGCUUAUGUAGCCGGAGUCUCUUCGGAGACGUUCAGUGGUCAUAUUUAUAAGAUCGCUCGAUGGCAUGGCCCAUGCCCAUCGAGUUAAAAUUUAAGGGCUCGCUGUUAAUUAUACCUCGGCUUAUCGGGUGGUUAGCGGUUAAAAUCUAGAUAAGUCUAAGCAUGUAGAUCCAAGGGCGGAGGAUCAGCGGACGCGGGUUCAAUUCCCGCCGCCUCCAAAU